UUUUCGGUCAUUUUUUGGAUAUUCGAAAUGAUGGUGUUUUUGGCUGUUUUUGCAACUUUCGAUGCUAUGGCAAGUCUCAGAAGGCUAUUUUAGGUUGUUUAAUGUGGUUUUAAGCUGUUUUUGGGACAGGUCCUAUU